UACAGAGACGUCGAGCGUUGUCCGGAUUUAUUGGGCGUAAAGAGCUCGUAGGCGGCUGUUCGAGUCGGGUGUGAAAUCCUGAGGCUUAACCUUGGGUCUGCAUUCGAUACUGGGCGGCUUGAGUCUGGUAGGGGGAUCUGGAAUUCCUGGUGUAGCGGUGGAAUGCGCAGAUAUCAGGAGGAACACCGGUGGCGAAGGUGGGAUCCUGGGCCAGUACUGACGCUGAGGAGCGAAAGCGUGGGGAGCGAACAGG
rnacentral:rRNA from 1 species